rnacentral:rRNA from 1 species
AGUGAACGCUGGCGGUAGGCCUAACACAUGCAAGUCGAACGGCAGCACAGUAAGAGCUUGCUCUUACGGGUGGCGAGUGGCGGACGGGUGAGGAAUACAUCGGAAUCUACUUUUUCGUGGGGGAUAACGUAGGGAAACUUACGCUAAUACCGCAUACGACCUACGGGUGAAAGCAGGGGAUCUUCGGACCUUGCGCGAUUGAAUGAGCCGAUGUCGGAUUAGCUAGUUGGCGGGGUAAAGGCCCACCAAGGCGACGAUCCGUAGCUGGUCUGAGAGGAAGAUCAGCCACACUGGAACUGAGACACGGUCCAGACUCCUACGGGAGGCAGCAGUGGGGAAUAUUGGACAAUGGGCGCAAGCCUGAUCCAGCCAUACCGCGUGGGUGAAGAAGGCCUUCGGGUUGUAAAGCCCUUUUGUUGGGAAAGAAAAGCAGCAGGUUAAUACCCCGCUGUUCUGACGGUACCCAAAGAAUAAGCACCGGCUAACUUCGU